CUACGGGGUGCUCCAGUGAGGAAUAUUGCACAAUGGAGGAAACUCUGAUGCAGCAACGCCGCGUGGAGGAUGACGCAUUUCGGUGUGUAAACUCCUUUUAUAUGUCAAGAAAAUGACGGUAGCAUAUGAAUAAGCACCGGCUAACUCCGUGCCAGCAGCCGCGGUAAUACGGAGGGUGCAAGCGUUGACUCGGAAUCACUGGGCGUAAAGGACGCGUAGGCGGGAUAUCAAGUCAGGUGUGAAAUCCUACAGCUUAACUGUAGAACUGCACUUGAAACUUCUAAUCUAGAGUAUGGGAGGGGGAGAAGGAAUUAGUGGUGUAGGGGUAAAAUCCGUAGAUAUCACUAGGAAUACCUAAAGCGAAGGCGAUCUCCUGGAACAUUACUGACGCUAAGGCGUGAAAGCGUGGGGAGCAAACAGGAUUAGAUACCCCAGUAGUC
rnacentral:rRNA from 1 species